CUUUGCUGAAUUGCAAGGCAAGAAUCUCAGCCCUUUUUGGUAUUUAAAUUCCUCUUCCUUGCAGAUAUAGCCUCGAAAAUGUAAAAUGAUCAGGAGGGUUGGAACCUUCUCACCAAUCUCCUACAGAUCACAGGUUACUCACAGCAAACCAGCACUGGCCUUUAACAUCUAGAUACACCGUAGAGGUGCACUGAGGACUACAGUUAAGGCCGACACACAGGAAUUUCGAGCUGGGCAUUGCACUGCAUCUUCUCACAUGUGCAGGCAAAACCAAGAUUAGCUGGGAACAUUCGGUGAGUUGGAGUUCACCUUGUCAGAAAGAGAAGAUGGAAACAAUCAAAGUCAUCUUUCAUGUCUGACUACAAACACACUGGAAGUAAAGCUAAGACAAAGUAAUAGCAGAAGUCCAAAUUUCUCUUCUUGGGCAUGCAUUUGUUAAUAGUUGGCUGUGUUGCUAAGAAACAGCUGAAAUGAGCUGAACUUUCAUCUCCUGGCUGAUUUCCAUGAUUAGGACUCAGCGUCUCAUCAGCGAGGCUCUGAACUCACAGUCCCUGUUGCAUUAUAGUUGAUCGGGCUGUAAUAUCUUUGAGGACAGUUUUGAGUUCUUAUUCUCUUCUAAUUUUCUUAUUAACUAGAAGCUGCAGUUAAUUCAUUGUAUCGAGAUCAAAAUAUAACACCGCACCGGA